rnacentral:lncRNA from 1 species
UGCGGCUGCUGAUCAAUUUUGUGACAUGAAGGAUGGUGGUGUCACGACCUGGCAGGAACAGACAGUGACCGCAGGAGACGGAAGAGGAGUGGAUCCAGAUGAGGAAAUAACCCACCGGAAAACAGAAGUGCCGAGAGACAUCAGCUGCGCCGUGCUUAUCGCAGCGCUCAUGGCUGGGCUCUCCUCAUCCGCUGCUUUUGUCACACAUCGCUUUGUACCGUUUUCCUGCAGUUUUGUCAGCCAGUUCUGGGGUAAAAGAGUUGUUCUACUCAUGGGGGCGAACUUGGCACUGUGAAUGCGCAAAGGGCAGAGUACCAGUGUCUGAAAACCUGUAUACUGGGACCAGCUGAAAGUGGGAGGGGAAGCACAAGUUCCUCCUGCUGGCCUCUCUCCUGGUAAGAGCAGCCUCCUCUUGCAAAUGAGAGGGAUGGGUGGUGGGUGAGUUUGGGUGCUGGAGACCCCAAAAGGGGAGAGGAACAUCCUCAUGUGCCCAAGGACAUCUUGGACAGAGUCACAGCUAAACCCACCCCCAUCUCUGGCUGGGUCUUCAUCCUCCAUUAUCCCUCCAAGUACAAAGUAACCCCUUACAAAAAUCCAUACCUUCUCUAAGCAUACAUUGAAGCCAUAUUUUUAUUCUUUCUGUACAUUCUACUUUCUGGGUAUUCUACUGUGCUAGUGGGCUUAUGGGGUAAGAGAAGGAGAUAUAAAAUG